rnacentral:rRNA from 1 species
GACGAACGCUGGCGGCGUGCUUAACACAUGCAAGUCGAACGGAAAGGCCCUGCUUGCAGGGUGCUCGAGUGGCGAACGGGUGAGUAACACGUGGGUGAUCUGCCCCUUACUUUGGGAUAAGCCUGGGAAACUGGGUCUAAUACUGGAUAGGACCAUGCUGUAGGUGGUGUGGUGGAAAGAUUAGUUUCGGUAAGGGAUGAGCUCGCGGCCUAUCAGCUUGUUGGUGGGGUAAUGGCCUACCAAGGCGUCGACGGGUAGCCGGCCUGAGAGGGUGGACGGCCACAUUGGGACUGAGAUACGGCGCAGAAGCCUACGGGAGGCAGCAGUGGGGAAUAGUGCACAAUGGGCGGAAGCCUGAUGCAGCGACGCCGCGUGGGGGAUGACGGCCUUCGGGUUGUAAACUCCUUUCAGCCAUGACGAAGCCCUUGUGGUGACGGUAGUGGUAGAAGAAGCACCGGCUAACUACGUG